CACAUUCCAUUUUGAGUACUACAUCCCAAAACCAAUUUGGAAAAACACUGCAUUAUUGUCUUGAGCAGCUUUGGGCUUAUUUCAUGCAACUCUGACCAGAAUAACUAAAGCAAGCAGAAGGUCUCAGAAGAAGAAGUGUCAUCCAAGCUUCUUUUUUAUACGUUUGUGCCGUUGCUGAAGACAUUGCCAAUUAAAAUCACGCUCACAGAGGCUGUGAAAACAGGACUACUCACAGGCAAACCAAAUAAGAAUUGAGGAGUUCCCAAGCAGAAGGCGACUGAACACACCAUGUCGGACGGAGGGCUUUUCAAGGCAGAGGUGAUCUAUAUCAGUGACGGUGAAAAACGCGGAGCAGGGGACAUGGUCCAACAGGAGACAUAUACUCGGUUGAUAUCUCCUCCUGAUCACACAACCCCACCCCAGACCCCUCCCCCUAUAAAUACCCAGCCAGAAAAUACAGUCCACCAUUUUGUAUCCGGGCCCGCUACUAUGGAAACAGCUGUUAACAAACACCAGGGCAUUUCUCAGCAGCAGUGGCACAACACCCCUGUGGGUGCUGAGGUCAGCUUGGAUCUCUUUUUAAAUAGGGAGUCUGACUCAGACGAGAGACUAAGCCCCGCUAACUCCACAGACCUGUUUCCUGCUUCUUCCAAGAGUCAGAGUCAGGAGUCCAUCCUCUCUGAGAGUUGGGACAAAGACAGGAGCUGGUCAGCACUGCAAAUGUCCCCUGAGACGUCUUGCGCGGUGUCCCCGUGCUCCUCAGUGAGAUCUGGCAUGUUCACCCCCUCUGUUGUGCGAGUCAAGAGGCACUUCCUAGAACCUGGCUCCAGUUUAGUCCACAUGCCGCCAACCUGUCUCUCACCAACUUGUUGUGCAAGUCCCUCCUCGUCCCCCUGUCCCCUGUCCCCCCGCUCCCGCCACAGGCCCCCUCCCACGCGGCUCUCCCUGCUAACAGCUAUCCUCCGAAAGGGCCGCCUGCCAGUCCUGUCCCCUACUCUGACUCUACAGAGACCCUACUCCCCCUGCUGGCCCAUUCACCAUGGGACUUCCUGUAACGCCUGCUCUGCAGCCUCCAGUGUGGCCUCUAUUCCUCUGGAGGUGUUCUCAUCCAGGGCCCAGUCCUCAGCCUCCAUACACAGCCCAGCUCAGAGUUACCAUCACAGGGAUGGAUGUGUGUUAGAGUCCCUUAGAUCUGUCAAUGCACCCCUGUCCAUAGAGUCUAAGGAGCUUUCCACCUCAUGGAGAAUGGUUGGCCCUCACAGCCCACCAUUAAGACACUCAGAAAAACUGAAAUCAAACAAUGGAAUUAUCUCUGAGAGGGUCACCUCCCCCUCUUAUCGAAGCCUUGUGGCAUCACCAGUGCCACCGUUGUCUCAAGCGUUCCCUCAAAACCUCCCCAAACCAGUAGACCACACCAAAGUUCCAAGUCCACCUCUGUACUCAUCACACUCACGAUUCAGACGUCUGUUUCCUGAACCACUCGACAACUCAGUUAACUCAAGACUUAACUCACUGUCGCCUGAGCCGAAACCAGUUAAGAACCAAGGGGCUUCUGUGCCCCAAGAUUCAAAUCAACCCCUGUAUUCGUCACACUCAAGACUUAAAUGUCUGUCUCCUAAUCCAGCUCACAACCAGGGGACCUCUGCAUGUCAACCUCUUUACUCAUCCUUCUCAAAGCUCAGCUCAUCGCCUCCCGGAAUAGUAAACUCCUCAUCAAACUCAACACUCGACUCACUGUCUCCCGGACCAGUAAACACCUCUUCAAACUCAACACUUGACACACUGUCUGCUGAACCUAAACCAGUUAGCAAGAACUUUGUACAAGCUCUGAAUUCUCACAUACAAUCAAAGCUCACCUUUCUGUCUUCUGCACCUGCUAAUAACCAGGAUACCUUUAAGGCCCUCAAUACGUCUACACCUGAAGUUUCCUCCAUGGGAACCUCUAACAAUGGGGGGAUUUCUAUGGGGACCCUUAACACACGGGGGACCGCAAGGCCCCAAGUUUGGAGUCCACUGUCCUACUCAUGUCUUUCCAGGUCUCCUAAACCUCCCUCUCUCUCCUGCUGUGCCCCAGAGGGCCAUCUUUCUGCCUCAUCCCACUCACCCAGUGGCAUAGUUUCCUCUGCACAGAGGUACACAGAUACAAUAUCACCAACCCCAUUACAGAACGGCCUGAAAACACCUCCACCCUCGAUGCUGCAACUCGGUGUCUCCCCAGCUCACAGAGCUUUCCACCUCACUCCCACCCUCUACACACCCCCAGGAUGUCCAUCCCCUAAGCCCCCCACUCCCCCUUCUACACCUGACCGUUUCACCCUCUCCCCUUCUCCGGCGCCCCUGACCCGCGACCUUACUCCGUCUCCCUCUCUCUCCCUGCGCUCUACGCCCUCUCCAUGCCUAUGGAGGGAGAUGUCAGACUCCAUUGAUACAAAAAGAAAGCCACACAAGAUCAAGUUAAGCUAUAAAGCCCUCGCUGCAAUUCCCACAAACAUCGUUCUGUUGGACCAGCAGGCAAUUGAUGAUCAAGUGCACAAAGAAGGAGAUUCACAGGACCCAGUGGACAGACGUAAGAAAGAGGACACACAUGCAGAGAUGUGUUCCCCUGCACAGUUGCGAAAGCAGUCAGAAGAUCUGUACGCUGUCAUAGACGAAGUGUUAGAGGACCCCAUUCCAAUGCGCCAAGCAUCUCCCGCUCUCGCGUACUCCAGGGAAUCAAUGGACAAAUGUGCACCAAAGCGAUACACUUCAUUGCCAAGGUCAUUGGGACGUGAAACGAAAUAUGCAACCUUCAACCUACAACGGUCUGUUGAGAGAAAACUGGCAGACACCUAUAAGACCAAGCCUGGCGUAAUUCGACCUGCCAAUAUUAUCCCAAGAUUGCCAGAGGAAAAUGAUGAUGAAGCAUUUCAUCCAAACCCCUUCAAACAAUAUCUGGACGAGUUGACUGUCAAUGACCAGAACAAGAUGAAUGUGGUACCUUCAGGCGUUUGGAAAUUGCACCCAAGGAUGAACCAGACUUGUGGAGGUCUACAAUGUAUUUUCUGAGGAGGCACUGAGUUUGAAGUCUACUCACCCGUUUGUGACAAUCCAUGAGAAUGAGGCGCUGAUGUCCAAAAAGCUCCUCCAAGAUGUGUACGCCGAGGAACUUGAACUUUUUGACCGACCCCACGGCGAUCCCAUUGAUUGAGAUGGGGCGUACUCUGCCUGGUUCCUCCUGAAGUCCAUAAUCAGCUUUUUUGCUUUGCUGACAUUGAGGGAGAGGUUGUUUUCUUGGCACCACACCGUCAGAGUGCCUACCUCCUCCCUGGAGUCUGUCUCGACGUUGUUGGUAAUCAGGCCUACUACUGUCGUGUCGUCAGUGUAUACCAUUCAGACGUGGUAUACAGGGAGUAGAGGAGCGGACUGAGCACGCACCCUAAUGGAGUCCCCAUAUUGAGGAUCAGUGUCGAGGAGGUGAUGUUGCCUAACUUCACCACCUUGAGUGGUGUCGUGGAAAUUUCCUGUAUUACCAAAUCAUGAGAGAGCAAACCACACACAAGUCAGAGUUAUCAUAAAGUCCAUCUUUAAUUAUAUGAGCUUCAUCACAACCCUGUUUGACUCUCAGAUCAAUUCAGUGUCAGAAAUGAAUUCUCUGAGAGUGCUUACAUAUUGGCAAUUGAGAUCCUUUAUAGCAAAGACACACAUAGCCAGACAGCAUUGGCUAUAAUUUAUCGUUCAUUUCGGUCUCCUAAACUAAGUUCUUAUCUCGUCCUUGGUACCACUUAGAACCAAAAACAUUACCUCAUCCAAUGGCAUAUAUCAAAUACACCCCCUCCUGGACAAGCUUACAGAGAGACGUGACUGGCACACAGACAUUGUGGAGCCAACCUAACUGGUUCCCCAUUAAUCACACCAUCCCCUCAUAUGGUUUAGGAAUAGUUUACAGACACAUUCACAGAUAAGACUAACCCGAACUCUCCCCUCUCUGGGCCCAAGUAACUUUCCCACAUAAGCAUGCUUAUGAAAAUUCAUAAAACAUCAGGGUAGCCUAGUGGUUAGAGCGUUGGACUAGUAACCAGAAGGAUGCAAGUUCAUAUCCCCGAGCUGACAAGGUACAAAUCUGACGUUCUGCCCCUAGUUAACCCACUAUGCCUAGGCCGUCAAUGAAAAUAAGAAUUUGUUAUUAACUGACUUGCCUAGUUAAAUAAAGAUAAAAUACAUUUAUAAAUCUUACCUAAAAAAUUCGGAAUCUGCCACGACAGCGGUUUUCAGGAAAUGUUUUGGCUGAUCAGUAGGCAACGGCCGACCCCCGUACAAACAUGGGCCGGCCCAGUUUUCUGAUAGGCUGAGCUGAGGUCAUGCAUGCUCAAAUUCAAAGUAAAACGCGGCAUCAGUAAAGAGACCUGCUCUGACUGUCAUCAGGUAGCCAGCCAAGAUCAUGGAUCUUAAAAAAACGGAAAGGUUGCCUAUGAAUGUAGAAAGAGCUCAUUCUACAUUGUCAUCUCACUUAAAACGUAACAUUUGGUCAUGAAAUCAUGAUUUGGUCACAGUGAGUUGGUGGCACGCACAGUGCUGUGGGUUUGUGUGGAUAAAAUGACAGGGCCGAAUUCUUGUCCCAGUGCACCCAUGCUCCCCCUGCACAUGACCGGAUGUCUUUGUCUGUUGUACAAACUGUUGUAACUAUAAGCAACCUUUCUCUGUUUACCUUUAAUAAAAUCAAAUUUAUGGCCCACAAACAUUGUCACCUAUGUGCGGUAGACUGAUCACUUCAAUUGACAGGGAUGUUGUUUUAGUCAAACUCUGGCUCAUAGCCUACCACCUACACGGCACGGGAACUUUUGGCUCCGAAUUUGCUCACAAAACGACCCUGUACAUAAUUCAAGAAGAUCUUAAUGCAUAUUCCAAUUAAACUGAUUGAGAUUAAAUGGUUGGCAUGCAGAUGCUGAAUGGAUGUAUCACUGGCAAAAUGUGAAGAAUUAUCAUUCACGUUGGAUAAAGUGAGAAAUGUAAAGUGAGGGGAGGGUGAUCAGCAGCUAUGCAAUGAAGUUAAGCUGUGCAUAAAGUUAAGUUUAAGUAACACAUGCGCAGAACGUGAUCCGGCUGUUUCGCUCUGGGGAAAGAGCCUUCCAGGGGGGCGG